AAAACAUAACCUUUAGACUAACCAAUAUUAAAGGCAACGCCUGCCCAGUGAACAUUAAACGGCCGCGGUACCCUAACCGUGCAAAGGUAGCAUAAUCAUUUGUCUACUAAUUAUAGACCUGUAUGAAAGGCAAAAUGAAAGUCUGACUGUCUCUUAUAAUAAACCAAUUAAACUGAUCUCCUAGUAAAAAAGCUAGAAUUAAACCAUAAGACCAGAAGACCCUGUGAAGCUUAAACUACACUAUUAAACCCAGUAAUAACUACUUUCGGUUGGGGCGACCUUGGAAAAAAAAAGAACUUCCAACAAUACGACCUACCUCGUACCACUCACACAGGCCCACAAGCCAACUAAUGACCCAGCAAAGCUGAUAAUUGAACCAAGUUACUCCAGGGAUAACAGCGCAAUCCUCUUCAAGAGCCCAUAUCAAAAAGAGGGUUUACGACCUCGAUGUUGGAUCAGGACAUCCUAAUGGUGCAGACGCUAUUAAGGGUUCGUUUGUUCAACGAUCAACAGUCCUACGUG
rnacentral:rRNA from 1 species